rnacentral:rRNA from 1 species
CAGUAGCCACGGGAAUACAGAGGGUGCGAGCGUUAAUCGGAUUUACUGGGCGUAAAGCGUGCGUAGGCGGCUUCUUAAGUUGGAUGUGAAAUCCCUGAGCUUAACUUAGGAAUUGCAUUCGAUACUGGGAAGCUAGAGUAUGGGAGAGGAUGGUAGAAUUCCAGGUGUAGCGGUGAAAUGCGUAGAGAUCUGGAGGAAUACCGAUGGCGAAGGCAGCCAUCUGGCCUAAUACUGACGCUGAGGUACGAAAGCAUGGGGAGCAAACAGGAUUAGAUACCCCCGUAGUCCCUGUCUCUUAUAA